UACAGAGGGUGCAAACGUUGCUCGGAAUCAUUGGGCGUAAAGCGCACGUAGGCGGCCCAGCAAGCGGGGAGUGAAGGCCCUCGGCUUAACCGAGGAAGUGCUUUCCGAACUACUGGGCUUGAAUACUGGAGAGGGUCGCGGAAUUCCCGGUGUAGAGGUGAAAUUCGUAGAUAUCGGGAGGAACACCAGUGGCGAAGGCGGCGACCUGGACAGAUAUUGACGCUGAGGUGCGAAAGCGUGGGGAGCAAACAGG
rnacentral:rRNA from 1 species